GUAGGGGCGUCCCGGGCGCGCGGG
rnacentral:miRNA from 1 species